rnacentral:lncRNA from 1 species
CCGCCGUGUUUCUCUCCUCCUCUUCCGACGCUUCUCUGGCAACAGGAAGGUGAAAGGGAGCAAUAUCAACAUAGGAGUGUUGUUUAUAUUCGAUGUUAGGUUUGCGUUCUUGACGACAAUGGGGAAGAGAUGUCGCACGUAUAAAAUCACAUAUCUACCCUCAUAAGUGUUGUGUGGCCAUCAUGGUCGACUCUAGGGAUCCUAUAAUGUUCUAGACUUCUAGUGUGAUGUUGUGGAUCAACAGCUUCCUCGGCCGUAUUAGUACGGGAUGUGUUUACAGUAUCCGUCUCAACAAAAUCAUCGGAGUUUGCUUCCAGUCUUGCUAGAAGAAUACUUAAGGAAAGAAGAGCUUGUCUCACACCUAAUAUGGUGAGCACACUAAUGGCCGUGAAGGAUAUGGAGCUAGCCAACUUAGAGCUCAACACACUUCGGUGAAUCCAGAGCUGCUAACGGCAUUUCAAAAUACUCCCUCCUUUUCAAAAAGAAUGGCACACACGCAUUUCG